ensembl:lncRNA
ACGUGAGGAGGAUCAUCUGGAUGUGUCUGUGUGUACAUCUAAUUGUUAUUGUGUCUUUGUGUACAUCUAAAUAUUAGUGUGUGUCUUUGUUUAGAACCAAAUGUUAGUGUGUCUGUGUGUACAUCUAAUUGUUAGUGUGUCUGUGUGUACAUCUAAAUAUUAAUGUGUCUUUGUGUACAUCUACAUUUUAGUGUGUGUCUUUGUUUAGAACCAAAUGUUAGUGUGUCUGUGUGUACAUCGAAUUGUUAGUGUGUCUGUGUGUAGAUCGAAUUGUUAGUGUGUCUGUGCGUACAUCUAAUUGUUAUUGUGUCUUUGUGUACAUCUAAAUAUUAGUGUGUGUCUUUGUUUAGAACCAAAUGAGUGUGUCUGUGUGUACAUCUAAUUGUUAGUGUGUCUGUGUGUACAUCUAAAUGUUAGUGUGUCUGUGUGUACAUCUAAAUGUUAGUGUGUCUGUGUGUACAUCUAAAUAUUAAUAUGUCUUUGUGCACAUUUAAAUAUUAGUGUCUUUGUUUAGAACCAAAUGGUAGUGUGUCUGUGUGUACAUCUAAAUAUUAAUAUGUCUUUGUGUACAUCUAAAUAUUAGUGUGUGUCAUUGUUUAGAACCAAAUGAUAGUGUGUCUGUGUGUACAUCUAAUUGUUAUUGUGUCUUUGUGUACAUCUAAAUAUUAGUGUGUGUCUUUGUUUAGAACCAAAUGAUAGUGUGUCUAUCUAAUUGUUAGUGUGUCUGUGUGUACAUCUAAAUAUUAAUGUGUCUUUGUGUACAUCUAAAUGUUAGUGUGUGUCUUUGUUUAGAACCAAAUGUUAGUGUGUCUGUGUGUACAUCUAAUUGUUAGUGUGUCUGUGUGUGGAUCUAAUUGUUAGUGUCUGUGUGUACAUCUAAUUGUUAUGUCUUUGUGUACAUCUAAUAAAGUGUAUCUAAGUGUAUGUCAUGCGUAGAUCUGGAUUUGCUCCUGAGGGGUUGACGUGGCGUCUGAUGGCGUCCCGUUGGUCUGCAGACAAGGAGAAGAGACGUGAGCAGGAUCAUCAGGAUGUGAGACAAGAUUCAUAGAUCCAAUUAUUUUAAUUUGAUGCACAUUUUAAUUAUUUCAUGUUUGUAUGGAUGUGUAAAUCUACAUUAUAUAUUUGUGGUUGUUAAACUGUAUUUCUGUAUUUGCUUUUUAUGUUUAGCUAGUCUCUGUGCAUACCAAUAUGUUAGUGCGUCUCUGUGUAAGUACUUUUUACAUUACAUUACAUUUCAUUUAGCUGACGCUUUUAUCCAAAGCGACUUACAAUAAGUGCAUUCAACCAUAGGGUACAAACUCAGAAGUGCAAUUUCCUCAAAUAACUUUUAUAUGUUAGUGCGUCUCUGUGUAAGUACUUUUAUAUGUUAAUGCGUCUCUGUGUACAUCUACAUGACAA